CCCUGUGUGAGCUCUGGCAUCUUUUUGUGGAACAGCAGCCAAGGUUGAAGAUGAAGCCAAGGGCAUCACCAAAAACUUGAAGAUGUUGAGUUUGACCAAAUAAAAAAGUCGAGAUCACACAGUCACUCUUCAUCACAGCUGGAGAAUCUGAAUUUACGAGUAUCUUGCAUCAAAACGCUGCCUCAGAGAGAACAGAAAGUGAAAAUACAGAUUCCUGAAAUCAUACAAUAAGAGGUGAAUAUUAUCUUCCUUCAUGAUCUUCAUUAUGAUUAAAGAUUAACUUUGUGAAAUAAUUCAUAAACCCAAUUAUCAAGAUAUUAUCAUUUAUAACAAAAUUAUAUCCUCCAAAGUGACUGAAAGACAUACAAUAUUUACUAUUUAUAUACCACAAUACUUUAGUCAUAUACUUGCACAGUCACAAAUUACUUAUUAAAAACUUGCAU
ensembl:lncRNA PRKAR2B-AS1 PRKAR2B antisense RNA 1